AGUGAACGCUGGCGGUAGGCCUAACACAUGCAAGUCGAACGGCAGCACAGUAAGCGUUUUCUCUUACGGGUGGCGAGUGGCGGACGGGUGAGGAAUACAUCGGAAUCUACUUUUUCGUGGGGGAUAACGUAGGGAAACUUACGCUAAUACCGCAUACGAUCUACGGGUGAAAUCAGGGGAUCUUCGGACCUUGCGCGACUGAAUUAGACGAUGUCGGAUUAGCUAGUUGGCGGGGUAAAGGCCCACCAAGGCGACGAUCCGUAGCUGGUCUGAGAGGAUGAUCAGCCACACUGGAACUGAGACACGGUCCAGACUCCUACGGGAGGCAGCAGUGGGGAAUAUUGGACAAUGGGCGCAAGCCUGAUCCAGCCAUACCGCGUGGGUGAAGAAGGCCUUCGGGUUGUAAAGCCCUUUUGUUGGGAAAGAAAAGCAGCAGGCUAAUACCCGGCUGUUCUGACGGUACCCAAAGAAUAAGCACCGGCUAACUUCGUG
rnacentral:rRNA from 1 species